UAUCACUUUAUUAUUUGGUACCGAUUUUGUGCACUUGCAGAACCACCGUCAAUUGGCUUAAUUCAGUUCACUUCAAUUUAAAUCUGCUUUGUUUCUGACUAUGACUUUAACGCUGAUGUCUAAAUCAUUAAGUAAGAAGUAUGUGUUCAUCCUCUACUUAACUAUAUUUCUUAAUUUACAUUUAUUACUAGAUCUCAUAAUAAUAAACUUGUGUUCAGAUCUAAGUUGAUCAAACGUAUUAUAAGAAAUAAAGAUGCACAAAACAACAUAAUCAUUUCACAUGAAUAACACAUUGGACUUGCAUUGAACUUCACAUAAUUCCAAUAACAAGAGUUUUAGCCCAUGAUAAACUUAACAAUACAUACAACCAAAAUCAUAGAUUUACGCAUCAUAAAAAAGUUUAGAAGUGUAACAUAAGAAGAACAACAACCAAAGAUAAAUCUAUGAUAUUUUUGUUGUGAUUUUCCCUUUUUUAGCAUGAGUUAUCAAUGUGUCAAAAUCAUAAUAUGAGUUAUCGGUGUGUCACAAUAUUAUUUUUGUUUUGUGAUUUUGCCUUUCCUAGUAUGAAGGGUUAUAAAAUAAUUAAAAUUUGGUAAAAAAAAUAUAAGUAUGAAUCAUACGAUUUGUAAAUUUUAUGUAACCUCCUUACUAAAGCUGUUAAAGGGGUAUAUUAAUGCAUUGGUUAUACUUAAGAGACAUUUAAUAAUUAUUUUAAUUUUAGGAAGUCUAAUCAUUUUAGAACUCUAUAAAUGUUAAAAAUUAUUUAUUUGAUGCAAGGAGAAUUUGAGCUUUAUAUAUCAAAAAGCGAUAAAAUCAUAUUCUAUUUAUACAUGCAACAGUUGUAAAAUAUGAAUAAAAUUGAAAAGUUUGUUUAUAAUAUAAUUAUCCUUCUUUCCCUAUUUCUUGUUUCAACAAGCUCUCAAGAUAUUCGAUGUGUCUUACCAAAACGAAAAAAUAUUCAUUGUCUUCGUAAAGGUGAUUGUCCAUACAAUUUUUGCCCAUAUCCUACAAACACAAAGUGUAUUAAUGGUUUUUGUCAUUGUAGUAAUUAAUUAAAUAUAAAGCUCUAUAGGUACCUAUGAGUUGUAAUGUAGUUAUUGUGGUAACUAAUAAUUUAAUUUUCUUUUAACUUUUAAAAUUUCAUGAACCUUUUUUGUACUA